rnacentral:rRNA from 1 species
CGUAGGCAGCAAGCGUUGUUCGGAGUUACUGGGCGUAAAGAGUGCGUAGGUGGUGCCCUAAGUCUGUUGUGAAAUCUCCCGGCUUAACUGGGAGGGUGCGGUGGAAACUGGGGUGCUUGAGUGUGGGAGAGGUAAGCGGAAUUCCUGGUGUAGCGGUGAAAUGCGUAGAUAUCAGGAGGAACACCGGUGGUGUAGACGGCUUACUGGACCACGACUGACACUGAGGCACGAAAGCGUGGGUAGCAAACAGGAUUAGAUACCCUGGUAGUCCACGCCCUAAACGAUGCAUACUUGGUGUGAGCCAUUCAUUUGGUUCGUGCCGGAGCUAACGCGUUAAGUAUGCCGCCUGGGGAGUACGGUCGCAAGGCUG